rnacentral:rRNA from 1 species
AUCGCCUGCCUUUGGACAGAAGGGUUCCACACAACAUCGAGGGGCACCACACGCGAUGCUCCAAAGAGGGUAAUACCUUCUCCACACACCUUGGUCGAUGCAAGCAUCACCUUGGACUCGCUCUCCAUAUCAUUGAAGCCCACCAUCAAGGCCUUGCGGGUUUUAAUGGAGACAUUUCCACUCAUAUACAGGAGCUCGUCGCGUUUAGUCCAGUUCUUUCCUCAGCUGUUCCAUGAUCAAGUCCAAUGGUUCAAGAAACUAGUUAAACACAAGCACUGGCUCUUUCAAAGCUUCCCUACUGGAAUUUUCGUCUUUGCUUAG